rnacentral:rRNA from 1 species
GAUGAACGCUGGCGGCGUGCCUAAUACAUGCAAGUCGAGCGAACAGACGAGGAGCUUGCUCCUCUGACGUUAGCGGCGGACGGGUGAGUAACACGUGGAUAACCUACCUAUAAGACUGGGAUAACUUCGGGAAACCGGAGCUAAUACCGGAUAAUAUAUUGAACCGCAUGGUUCAAUAGUGAAAGACGGUUUUGCUGUCACUUAUAGAUGGAUCCGCGCCGCAUUAGCUAGUUGGUAAGGUAACGGCUUACCAAGGCAACGAUGCGUAGCCGACCUGAGAGGGGCGGCGGCCACCAGUAGAGUAAGACCCGGUACAGACUAAUACGGGAGGCAGCAGGAGGGAAUGUUCCGCAAUGGGCGAAGGCUCGACGAACCAUCGUAGCAUGAGAGAUGAAGGUUUUAGGAUCCUAUACCUCUGUUAUUAGUGAAGACCAAAUAAGCAAGUACCAAUGCACGUCUUGAAGCCACCUAAUCAGACGGCCACGCCUCACUACAUG